rnacentral:misc_RNA from 1 species
GAGUCAAUGCAAUGCCAAUCUCAUUCUAUUGUGCUGUGUCAAAGUAACUCCUUCGAUUCCUCAAUUUCUCUGCAAAAAAUCAAACAAAACCCUCUCUCACUUCCCAAUCCUAAUCACUAGUAACCAUGAGCGAAGAAGACAAAGCACGCAACAGAGGCGUCGUCGAGCGCCGCCACCACCAGCAGCAACAGCCGCCCCAGUAUGGUACCUUUCAAGGCGUUGCUAAUUAUCCUCCUCCGCCUCCUCCCCACCACCAGCCUGUCAUCGGCUUCCCUCAGCCUGCUCCUCCCCCUGGAGCUACUGAGCCUUCCGCCUCUCCUCCGCCUCAGGAUCCCUCCUAUUAUGCUCACGGUUACCAAACCGUCACAGGUUAUGCUGUUGCUGAAGGAAGACCUGUAAGAGAGCGCCGUCUUCCUUGCUGUGGUAUUGGUGUUGGCUGGUUCUUGUAAGUUAUUAUCAUUUUAAAGUUUCAAACAGGCAGCAAAUACAAGGAUGCCUCAUUGGUUUGUAAAAACUUUCACUUGAGCUUUACAAUGUCUGGAUAUUCAUCGAGUUUUGCAAGUAUGACUCCAUAAAAUUUUCAUUUGAGCAGAAUAGUUUAGGAUUUUAAUCUUUAGAGCUAAAUGAGCUGACCAAUUGAUGCUAAAACUCGCUCAUGUUUUAUGUCUAUACGUUAAUAUCAUGAUGGCUGAGCUUUUCUUGUUUGGUUGGAUGUGCUUACUCUUUGGUACUUAAUAAAUAGAGUUAUAUUUGGGGCUUCGUUGUUGAUUAUGAAAUGCUUCUAGUACAAAGGGAGCUGUUUAAGGGUAUUUUCUUGUAAUUUUUUUUUGAAUAUUUAGACCUUUCAUUUAUAAUCAUUAUUAUUUAUAUAUUGACCGUCCUUUCAUGAAGGUUUAUUAUCGGUUUCUUUCUCGGUGCUAUCCCCUGGUUUAUUGGGCUAUUCGUUCUACUAUGUGCAAGGAUUGAUCCACGAGAGAAACCAGGAUACAUUGCUUGCACAAUUGCUGUGAGUGACACUUCCAUUUUCUGAAAAUUUACAAGCUGUUGUGCGAUCCUAUUUUGCACUUUGUUUGGAAUUACAUCUAAAUUUUGAUUAUUUCACAAAAAAAAUAUUGUUGUUUUUUAAAAUUCUGAAAGCUUGUUCUUGAGAAUUGAAUUACGUAAGAAUUAUGUUGAUGUGCAUGAGUGCCACAUUGGAGCAAGCCGUCAAUUGCACACUUUUGAGAACAAUUAUUUACAGUAUACAUUAGUCAAUUGUUAAUGGAUUAUGCAGUUGAGGGAAUGUUUUGAAGUCUAAACUCUUCAUUUGAUUAUACAUGAGGCAAUGAACUCUUAGCCUAGAGGAGGAAUUACAAACAUACAAAAUGCCUCCGUAUUCUAUAUAAUAUCAUAGUUUUUAAACUUGGAUGUGAUAUUGAAUAGGUAAAGGGACUUGGUUAGUAGACUAUUAGGUUGAUUGGUAGUUCACUUGUUGCAUUGGAAAGUUGGUUAAAAAAAUAAAUAUUCACAAACAAUAAAACCGUGUAAUAAACAUCCUUAUAUCCCACUGUCAUUUUUCAUUUUCAACUAAUAAAGUUUGGAAGUCAACGUUGCUGCUCCGUAAGGGCUUUAUUUUGGUCUUCUGUCUUCAGGGGGUGAAUACUAUUGACUUAUUGCGAAAAAAGGUGGACCAAUAAGUACUUAUAUCCUAAUUGCAUUUUACAUUGUGAAGUGGCGUAAGUCAUCUGUAAUUGCCUUUUUAGGCUGCUUGAGGAGGGUGGAAUAUGUUUGGAUACUUAGGAGGGUAUGAUGGUAUAAAGGAUGAUAAAAUUCUUCAAAGUAGUACUUUUUUUUUAAUUUAUUUUAUUGAUUAUUGAAGAAUUUGAGAGAAACUUUAUGAAAAUGAGUGAUUGUAUUGAAAUUGAUCUGAAGCUAAGAUAUGAAGGCUUUUAUACAGCUCAAUACAUGUGCUAAGCUAAUAACAGGCUUGCUGACUCAGCUACAAGACAAAUAACAAAUUUCCCAACUAAUAAAUUACAGAAGAACCUUCAAGAAUCUGCAGCAUCAACUCUGCUACUGCUGCUGAACACAACAUAAUCUCUACAAUUAUUUGGAUGGAAAGGAGUGCCCACAUUUUAAAAUUAGGUUUUCCUUAAGUUUGCUAUGGGAUUGGGUGGUUUUCUUGGCUUUUUCUUGGAUGGAUUUCUUAAAAGUAUUUUUGAAUGCAAUUCAACCUGAUUGGAGGGUGUUACAUUUUAGUAUCUUUGCCCUUUUCAUUUUUGUGCUGAUUAGGCUAAGAGGAUGCUCUAUCCUUCACAUUGUUUGUUCAUUUCUUGUAGUUAUUCAAAAGAAGUUGCUAAUUAUAUUAUUAUACACAAAACAUGCAUAUAAAAUUCAUGAGUUUGAAGCAGUGGAGUGCUAUCUGGAGUGGUUCUGGUGGAUGGGACAUUGAGGAGGCAGAUGCAUAUGUCACACUCAUGACCGCUGAUAUGUUUGUCAUGGAUGAUUUAGUAACAAACUGUCAAAGAGGGUGUGGUUAUUUCCAUUCCAAAUAUAUUUGAUACACUCAUUUUCACUUUUUAUUGAUGAAAUUGCAAUAUUAUACCCAUACUUCAAUGUGAUUGACUAAGAAAGAAAGUAUGAGUGAUUUAAUCAUUUAAUCAAACAAAAAGGCAGAAUGGAGUGCAUUUAAGAAAUAUGAAGUGGGAAUACCACAAGGUCCACAACCUUGUCAAGAUUCCACUACUAUUUGGAAAUCUAAGCUUAUGUGUUGUAAAUUUGAGGAAUUCGAUCUCUUUGUAAGAGGGAUUUUCGUGCCUCAUAUCCUUCAAAUAUUAAUAUAGAGGUAGAAAAUUCAAAUUCUCUUUUUGGUUGCUUUUGAAAAACUUGAGCAUGCUUUAGUGUGUUUUUCUUCGUAAUAUAUGUAAGAUAUAUUUCCAAGUUUGUCAUGAAGUGCAUUAUGGAUUGCUACGAUUUCUAGUCACUUUUCACACCCUCAUUCAAGUAUCACUACUCAAAUUAGAACUGCAUUCUGUUGUAUUGUCAACUGUAGUUGUGAAUUUAUUUUGUCAGUUGGGGUAUGAAAAAUGGAGGAUUUUGUCUGUUCCAACAUAAAAAUGCAAGAAUAAUGCUCUUUGUGCAGGCUGUUCUUGCCACCGUUGCAAUUAUUCUUGGUGUAACUAAGGGAUCAGAAGAUUAGCAAUCGUUUGGCCAAGAGUAGCAAAAUGGAUGUGAACACACAUGCAUCAGUUCCAAAGUAAUUUAGCACUCUUGAGUAUGCAAUACUGCGAUUGAUUCUUAGUUGUGUUAGUGGAGUGUUCUGAACAAUUCGUUGGGAGAUGAUUUCCAUAAAUGUUUAAUGCAGUUAUUGUUGUACUUAUCUGAAUGUGUGCUUUGAUUAUUUAUUUGUGAAAAUCAGCAGACAUGUUGUAUAUUUAUAAUUAUAAUAUUAUUAUAUAAUAUUAAUUUUUAGAUAUUAGAAGAGAAAUAGAAGUUGGUGGAUUCAGGUUGAGUCAAUUGUACCUGUUUAAGCUUUUCAGAUUUCAGUACAUUGCUCCAGUGGCGAGUGAAG